ensembl:lncRNA
GGCGCGGGGGCGGGGGGCGGGAAUGCCGAAAAGGGACUCAUCAGAGAUGAAGGGGGUCUCGGCCCCAGGCUUGGGAGUUCCCAAAAAGACGAGGGUGGGUGAGCGCUGGACCUACUCGGGUCGGGCAGGGGGAGAAUUCAGCAGAGAUGGGCUCGGAGAGCGCCCCGAGUGCGGGCUGGUGCGGAAACUCGGGACCGCGCCGGGAGGGCUCGGCGCGGGGCUGGGGCUGGGUCUGGGGCCGAACACUUACCUGGGCGCCGUCAGCAGCAGGAGCGGGGCCGGCGCUGGCGGAGGCGGCCACAGGGCGCAAGUUUGCCAUCCCUAAGGCGGGGGCCGGGCCGGACGCAGGGCAGCUCGCUGCAGCCGCGCAGAGGGCCGAGGCUCCCGCUCCGUGGAGCGGCGAGUGCAGAAAAGGCGCCGCGGAGCAGCGCGGGGCGGGCGGGCGGUCGGGCGGGCGCCGGGCCGGGCGCGGGCGCGGGCUUCUGCCGCCGCCUCCUCGCCACGCCGCCCCCGCUCCCCGCCCCGAGCACCUCCUGCGCUGCGCGCCGCCUCCUAUUCGCGGGCGGCGGCCGCAGCCCCAGGCUCUGAGCGCCGGUGCCGCAUCCUCCUCGGUCUCCGAGCGUCGCCGCUGUCACCGCCGCUGCCGCCGAACCGGAUUCCUCCGGCCGCUCCGGCCGCUGCCCGCAACGCGCGCCGGGCCGAGUGACGGCCGAGGCGGGACGCGGCGCCUGCGCGGGCUGGGCCCGGGAGGGGGCGCGCGCCGGGACGGGCGCGAGGAGCCGCGGGAGAAGGGUGGUGGUGGUGGGGGGGACGCGCGCCGCCUCCUGUUAAAGGGGGAGCAGCGCCAGCCUAGCCAAGCGCGCCCUCCCCCUCUCCUCCCCGGGCCUCAGGCGCCGGCGCGGGAGAAGCCCCGGAUUAGAAGACUUUCGAGAAGGGUGGACACUGAGGCCUCCCAGAACAGCUCAGCAGGAGGCCCAGCACCAAGAUCUGCUCCAAAAACAUGGAAGGAAGGAAGGAAGGAAGGAAAAGAGAAGACAGUACCAGCAUUGAUGAAAAUUGAAAUCUGGGCCACUCUGACUCUGUUGAUGGAAGGGAAAAUUAGAACAACUUUUCUGGAAAACCACUGAGCGGUGGUGUCAAGAGCUUUAAAACAGACAGACCCUCUGGUCCCAUUCAUCUACUUUUAGGAACUCAAUCCAAGAAAUAACCAAAGACGCCAAAAAAGACCCAUGUACAAGGAUGCUUAUUACUGUUAUUUAUAACUGUGAAAAAUCCCAACCAACAUAAAUGUCUAGCAAUGGAGGGCUGGUUAAAUAAAUUAUGAUACAUCCAUAUAUAAGAAUGUUAUGUAAACAUUAAAUGUCAUGUUCUUGAAGAAUUUUUAAUAACCUGGGAAAUACCAUUUUAUAAGUAAAGCACAACAGAAAACAAAACCGUCCAUCUAGGAUGGUCUUGAUUGUAUAAAGAAAACAUUUAAUCAAUUCAUGUAAAGAAAGUCUGGAAGGAAAUAAAUGAGAGUUAAUCUGAGAAGAUUAUGGGUGAUUUUUUUGUUUGUUUCAGCAUACUUCUUUAUUUCUUACAAAUCUACAAUUUUUCAGGAAAAUUUAUUAGAAAUACAUGCAACCUGGGAGCUGGGCAUGGGAGAAUCAAAGUUUGAGACCAGCCUGGGCAACUUAGUG